UGGGUAUGGAUAUGGGCUAGUGAUAACUAAGCCUGAAUCUGGCUUCCAUCCAUUUCCCGAUCCUCAAGUGACUAGUUCAGUUUUCUUUCUGGCAAACAACAAAGUCUUCUCAGCAUCUCAGACAUCAUGUUACACAAGAGAAAGCCUUUACCUGAACCUUUACUGUGAUAGAAAUAACACGGUUCCAUAAGUGCCACCCAUUAUAUGUAUAUAUGUGCUUUUAACCAGCCAGAUACCGCAACUGGCUCUGAAUAGUGUGUUUCCCUAUUCAUUUAUUUAUUGACUGCGUUUAGAAACAAAGUUCUUGAAAUUAAAUUUUACUGGUAAAAUAAAUAACUGCUUGAAACUGAAA